rnacentral:rRNA from 1 species
GUCGAGAAUCUUUCACAAUGGGGGCAACCCUGAUGGAGCGACGCCGCGUGGAGGAUAAGGUCUUCGGAUUGUAAACUCCUGUCAUGCGUGAACAAGGUUGCUUGGUUAAUACCUGGGCAAAUUGAUGGUAACGCAAGAGGAAGAGACGGCUAACUCUGUGCCAGCAGCCGCGGUAAUACAGAGGUCUCAAGCGUUGCUCGGAAUCACUGGGCGUAAAGGGUGCGUAGGUGGCGUGGUAAGUCAGAUGUGAAAGCCCGGGGCUCAACCUCGGAACUGCAUCCGAUACUGCCAUGCUAGAGUACUGGAGAGGUGACUAGAAUUCUCGGUGUAGCAGUGAAAUGCGUAGAUAUCGAGAGGAAUACCAAAGGCGUAGGCAGGUCACUGGACAGUUACUGACACUGAGGCACGAAGGCCAGGGGAGCGAACAGGAUUAGAUACCCUUGUAGUCC